rnacentral:ncRNA from 1 species
AUUCUUGCGUUGAAGGAGAUAAGUACGCAGUGCUUCUUGCCAGGGAGGGAAUACCGGAGAUUGGGAGUGUUCCUGAAGAAUCAGGCUGCGGAAAUUCACUCUUGAGCAGUUUUUUUGAACGGCAGUUGAUUAUUAGCCAAGUAGGGAAAACCGGCAGCGGACCGUUAUUUCGUUAAAGUGAAGCACAGAGCGCGGCUGAUGCAUGCCGGUUCUUUUGCUUAACAAGGGUGGUACCACGGCUUUUUCGUCCCUUAG